AUAGUCCCGAAAGGGUAAAGAUUUAUCGGUUUUGGGAGAGGCCUUCCUCCUAUCAGCUUGUUGGUAAGGUAAUGGGCUUUACCAAGGGCAAUGACGGGUAGCUGGUCUGAGAGGAUGACCAGCCUCGAUGGGACUGAGACACGGCCCAGACUCCUACGGGAGGCAGCAGUGGGGAAUAUUGCACAAUGGGGCGCAAGCCUGAUGCAGCAACGCCGCGUGAGGGAUGACGGCCUUCGGGUUGUAAACCUCUUUUAGUAGGGAAGAAGCGAAAGUGACGGUACCUGCAGAAAAAGCACCGGCUAACUACGUG
rnacentral:rRNA from 1 species